rnacentral:rRNA from 1 species
AACGAACGCUGGCGGCAUGCCUAACACAUGCAAGUCGAACGAGACCUUCGGGUCUAGUGGCGCACGGGUGCGUAACGCGUGGGAAUCUGCCCUUGGGUGCGGAAUAACAGUUAGAAAUGACUGCUAAUACCGCAUAAUGACUCCGGUCCAAAGAUUUAUCGCCCAAGGAUGAGCCCGCGUCGGAUUAGCUAGUUGGUGAGGUAAAAGCUCACCAAGGCGACGAUCCGUAGCUGGUCUGAGAGGAUGAUCAGCCACACUGGGACUGAGACACGGCCCAGACUCCUACGAGAGGCAGCAGUGGAGAAUAUUGGACAAUGGGCGAAAGCCUGAUCCAGCAAUGCCGCGUGAGUGAUGAAGGCCUUAGGGUUGUAAAGCUCUUUUACCCGGGAUGAUAAUGACAGUACCGGGAGAAUAAGCCCCGGCUAACUCCGUGCCAGCCGCCGCAGUAAAAC